AUGCUUACCUGGCAGCGGAGAUACCAUGAUCAAGGAGGUGGUUUUCCCAGGGCGAGGCCCAUCCAUUGUACUUGGGGUGUGCUGACCCCUGAGAUUUCCCCAAAUUCGGGAAACUUGAGUGCAUAAUUUGUAGUAGUGGGAGACUUUGUUCACACUCUCCCC
ensembl:snRNA U1 U1 spliceosomal RNA